AGUAAAUUUAGCAGGAGAAGAAUUUUCAAGUAGUCAAUAUUAGUAUUAGAUUUCUAAAAGAUAUAUGGUAUUACCCUUCUGCAGACACAAACAGACAUGUACCACUGCAUGUCAAGGUGAAACUGAGCCUCUUUCUGAGUUCCUCGAGCAUCAGCCUCUGUGGUGCUGGGAAGUGGCUGUGCUCUCACAACAGGCAUGACUUCCUCGUGCUGCACACACAAGGAAAAAGAAGCAAAAAUAUAUAAUUAACAGAAAAGCUACAGUGUCGACACACACUUCUCCAGCAGCUUGGAACGAUUCCUGAUGACACUCCAGCUGAUAUUUGAGCAACCCACUGGGACCUAAGCCAUCUUCUGUGACCUGAAACAAUCCAUAAUGACCUCU